rnacentral:lncRNA from 1 species
AUGAACUGGAGUGCCUUGAAAAAUGUCUUGCAAGAUUAACGGGCAAAUUUUGGGGUAUGACAGCUGCCCCUGUUCAAUAUUCUUGAACCGAGAGAGUUAGAAUGGUAUGUACGCCAUUCAUGGUCUGGAGGUGGAAGAUUAUUGAACACUUAGAAUGCCCCAAAAAUUUGCACUUGUUAAUUAGUCUUGAUGGAGAUGGGCUUAAAG